GUCCCUACGGGAGGCAGCAGUGGGGAAUAUUGCACAAUGGGGGAAACCCUGAUGCAGCGACGCCGCGUGAGUGAAGAAGUAUCUCGGUACGUAAAGCUCUAUCAGCAGGGAAGAAAAAAAGUCCUUUGGACUUUGGACGGUACCUGACCAAGAAGCCCCGGCUAACUACGUGCCAGCAGUCGCGGUAAUACGUAGGGGGCAAGCGUUAUCCGGAUUUACUGGGUGUAAAGGGAGCGUAGACGGCAGCGCAAGUCUGAAGUGAAAGCCCGCGGCUCAACCGCGGAACUGCUUUGGAAACUUUUUUG
rnacentral:rRNA from 1 species